rnacentral:tRNA from 1 species
GAGCACUGAAGUAAAUAAUUUACAUUUAGUUUCGACCUAAAUUUAGAAAUAUAUUCCUUGCUCA